AAGGGAGACCUAAUUCCGGUAGGAGACGAAAAAAAAGUAGUCCCAACCAAGAAUCAAUCCCAAAAGGUCGGAACGAGGUAUGAGGCCUUCAAACUAGGUUCUGGGUUCAUAAAAGACCUGAAUCAGGAACAAGGGCUAUUAGCUCAGGUGGUUAGAGCGCACCCCUGAUAAGGGUGAGGUCCCUGGUUCGAGUCCAGGAUGGCCCACCUGCACAGGUGGCAAAAACAAGAGAAGCGAGGAAUCAGCACCUUAUCUUACUUAUAUAUAAGAGAGAAUGCUGGCUCUGAGUAAAGAGUCCAGAGGAACCUUGAAAACUGCAUAGAGCUAGGUGAAAAAGCCAAAAAAGAAGACCGCAA
rnacentral:tRNA from 1 species